GAUCAUGGCUCAGGAUGAACGCUAGCGGCAGGCUUAACACAUGCAAGUCGAGGGGCAGCAUAAUGGUAGUAAUACUAUUGAUGGCGACCGGCGGACGGGUGCGUAACGCGUAUGCAACCUACCCUUUACAGGGGGAGUAACGCUGAGAAAUCGGUACUAAUACCCCAUAAUAUUCUGGGAGGCAUCUUUCGGUAGUUGAAAGCUUGGUUGGUAAAGGAAUGGGCAUGCGUUGUAUUAGCUAGUUGG
rnacentral:rRNA from 1 species